GGACCUUUGCUUUUGAAGUAAGAAAUCUGCUCUAAUCCAGAUCUUGAGGCAGGAAGACAACCUUUAAUCUUGUUUAUACUCUAACAAAGUUUGCCUGAAGAUCAGAGGGUGGAGAUAGUCACAAGCUAACCAUAGAGGUCUGGAGGUCUGUACAGACAAGCAGGAAGUGAGUGAUAAGGUGGGAGGAAACAGGAGCUCAGUCUCUUUUUGGCUGGGAAGUUGAACCUAUUAGAACUUGUGCUACAAAUCUGGACCCCACCCUCUGCUGGAAGCCUAUACAAGGACAUGGAAGAAGGAAGCUGUACUCUACACCUUGCUAGUGUGUCCAUUCCUUCACUGGUACUAGAGCCUACUUCUUUGGGGUUCCAGUGUCUACUGAGGAACAGCUGAGGCAUCCAGCCCCAUUGACUGAGCAACUUCUGGGUUCUUGGACCUUCUAUUCAUGGGCAGCCAUUGUUGGACUAGCUGGACCACAGCCUGUGCCAGAGCACUCGGGAGGCUCAGGUGACACACUGCAGCACACACUCCCUUUUGAGAGCCAGCAACUGAGCAUCCUUGCCCUGUGGGACCAGGGAUGAAGGAAGCAACUGCUUCUCCAUGAAGUUUAAGCUCUGUGAGACGGAUCCCUGAGUUGAAAUCCCAGCUUUGCUACUCUCCAGCUGUAAGCAUGAGCAGGUCUGCUAAGCUCUCUACACCUCCGUUUUACCAACUAAAAUGGGAGUGUUGAUAGGGCUGAGGAAAUGGCUCAGCAGUUAAGAGUGUGUACCGAUCUUGCAGGGGACCCAAGUUCAGUUCCCAGCACCCAUGGCAGACAACUCACUGCCAUAUGUAACUCUAGCUCCAGGUGAUUCUAUGUUCCUGGCCUCCAUAGACAUCUGUACUGGCACGUACCUACCCCCACCA
rnacentral:lncRNA from 1 species